UUUUACUAAGAAUAAAAGCUCCCUAACUAGACAGCAAUAUACAGGUAGAUGCGCCCCAGACUCAAGGACUGUUUGAAAAGGAAGCAGCAGUAUUUUGAGACAUCUCAUUUUGGCCAAGCGUCUCACACUCGUGACUCACCGUUUCCCGCCUCCCUCGACAAGACAGAAAUUACCCUCAAACUGAUUCUACGAUCAAUAACAACAUGCCCACCAAUCAAGAGCGCCGACCCGGGGUUAAGAUCCAAUCAGCAGCUCACACUCCUCCUGCUUCAAGAGUCUGAGCAGACGCAAACAAACAAGACGUUUACAGGUCUGAGGAGAGACACACAAACCAGACGUUAUUCAUAGAAACACGAACAAAGAUUUGAAAUAAAUAUGAUUCUGAGAUGUAUUCUUUGUUAUGAUUUUAUUUACUUAUCUAUUUAUUGCAAAUAUAUAUGCUAAGAAAUGUACAUAAAUUAGAUAUAAAAAUAGAUGUAUGGAAGAACAGUGGAAAAUAGAUCAUAGGUGAACAGUGAAGCCUAUUUAUAAAUAUCCACUAGAGAAUGACUGCUUAUGCUAUUAAUAACACUGAUGCAAUGGUGUGAUUUACAGCAGUGAGAAUGAGGCCGUAAACACGAGAUCCCACCGUCAGAAAUGAAAGUGAAUGUCUCUAACUGCCCGUGUGCAAAAGGUCACGCUUGUUCCCGUGGAGACGGGCCUUUAGAAUGCAGCUGUCAAUCAUAGCUGUUGCUACUGGAGACAGACGAGAGAAAUAGAUCUGAAAACAGAAGAAAGGCACACUAGAGUGAGUCCAGUUUGGACCGUGGUUGUUUUUCACUGCAUUUAAAGCAGUAAGCCUCCUUUACUAAAGUAAAAUCACCAACACAUGGCCUCAAAAAUAAUGGUCACAUGGCCUUUCAUAAAAAUUUCACACAAUCAUAUAUGCUUUAAAAAACCUGGAUUAAUGUAACUAGUUUUAUUAUUUCAGAUUUAAAGCCACUAGUCUAUGAUAUUUUGUUGUUGUUGUUCAAAUUAAUUUGGAAAUUAUGGAAAUUGAAAAUUUUCCAUUUAAUUUUUUUUUUUUUUGUGGUUA
rnacentral:lncRNA from 1 species